UGGCGGACGGGUGAGUAACGCGUACGGAAACCUGCCGUAUACGGUGGGGGUAAUAACCUAACUUAAGAAAGUAGGUGACUAAUACGCAUAAGCGCACAGCUUCGCAUGAAGCGGUGUGAAAAACUCUGGUGGUAUACGAUGGUUCCGCGUCUGAUUAGCUAGUUGGUGGGGUAAUGGCCUACCAAGGCAACGAUCAGUAGCCGGCCUGAGAGGGUGAACGGCCACAUUGGGACUGAGACACGGCCCAAACUCCUACGGGAGGCAGCAG
rnacentral:rRNA from 1 species